rnacentral:rRNA from 1 species
AGUGAACGCUGGCGGUAGGCCUAACACAUGCAAGUCGAACGGCAGCACAGUAAGAGCUUGCUCUUACGGGUGGCGAGUGGCGGACGGGUGAGGAAUACAUCGGAAUCUACUUUUUCGUGGGGGAUAACGUAGGGAAACUUACGCUAAUACCGCAUACGACCUACGGGUGAAAGCAGGGGAUCUUCGGACCUUGCGCGAUUGAAUGAGCCGAUGUCGGAUUAGCUAGUUGGCGGGGUAAAGGCCCACCAAGGCGACGAUCCGUAGCUGGUCUGAGAGGAUGAUCAGCGACACUGGAACUGAGACACGGUCCAGACUCCUACGGGAGGCAGCAGUGGGGAAUAUUGGACAAUGGGCGCAAGCCUGAUCCAGCCAGACCGCGUGGGUGAAGAAGGCCUUCGGGUUGUAAAGACCUUUUGUUGGGAAAGAAAAGCAGCAGGUUAAUACCCAGCUGUUCUGACGGUACCCAAAGAAUAAGCACCGGCUAACUUCGUG